rnacentral:tRNA from 2 species
GGGCCGUUAGCUCAGCGGUAGAGCAGUGGACUUUUAAUCCAUUGGUCGAAGGUUCAAAUCCUUCACGGCCCA